CGGGCCCGGGCUGCGGCGUCCGGCCUCGUCGGCAGAGCCGGCGGCAUGGACAGGCUCUUCGUGGAGGAGGUGGCCGCCUCGCUGGUCCGGGAGUUCCUCAGCAGGAAGGGCUUAAAGAAGACAUGUGUGACCAUGGACCAGGAACGCCCACGCUCUGACCUCAGCAUAAACAGCAGAAAUGAUCUCCGCAAGGUUUUGCAUCUUGAAUUUCUCUACAAGGAGAACAAGGCAAAGGAAAAUCCUCUAAAAACAAACCUUGAACUCAUCACCAGAUACUUUCUGGAUCACUUUGGAAAUCCUCCCAACAAUUUCACUCAAGAAACACCAAUCCCUGCACUCUCAAUUCCAAAGAAAAAUAACAAAUUAACAUCAAGGUGCUCAGAGACCAUGCUGGUAAAUAUAUAUGACCUUGCAGAUGAAGAUUCAGGAUGGAGAACAUCAUUGUCAGAAACAAGCAAAGCCAGGCACGACAAUCUUGAUGGGGAUUUGCUUGGUAAUUUUGUAUCCUCGAAAAGGCCCCCACACAAAAGUAAGCCUAUGCAAGUUAUCCCAGGUGAAAGCCCUGCUGUGGCCCCUGCAUGGGAGAAGAUGGACAAGCUUCCGUCGUCAGAGUCUUCCUUGGACACCAAGAGGGUGGGCGAGAAGAUCAGGUCCAAGUCUGGCCUGAUUGUCCGAGGCAUGAUGGCCGGUCCUAUCGCCAGUUCCCCGCAGGAUUCCGUCCGCAGACGCUCCCUGAAGCGGUCCCCGGCCUUGAGCAGCAGGACCCAGGCCCCCGACUCCGAGAGCCGGAAAGUGCCCGAGCUCUCUGCCCAUGCCCCAGCCUGUCCCACCACCCAGGACGGCCUGGCUUCCAGCCCUGGCUCCCCUCUCGGUGAGCUGACUGCAGAAAAGCAGAGAACCACACCUGGCAGCCCCCACCACUUGUCCUGCAAAGGGCUGCUGCGGAGGGGGAGCGGCAGAUGGCAAGAGCUUGAGGAAGAUGGCCCAGCUGUGGACAGUGGCCCAGAGGCCAACAGGACGCCGUUGAAAUUCUCCUUGCCAGAUGGAAGUGCCAGGAUGACCCAGGAGAGGCUGGAAAGAACAUUCACAAGGCAGGAGAGCCAGCCCCUGCCCCUCAGGAAAAACAAGUUGCCAGUGCCCAACAAAGCUGAUGGUGAGCUGGGUGUCCUGCAACUUGAGGAUGUGGAGGAUGAACUGACAAGGGAAGAAGUGAUCCUGUCUCCAGUCCCAACGAUGCUCAAGCUGCAAAUAGUGUCAAAGCCGAUGGACCUUUCAGUGGCCAAGGACAUAAAGACUCUUCUGUUCGGUUCCAGCUUUUGCUGUUUCAAUGAAGAAUGGAAACUUCAGAGUUUUUCCUUCAGUGACGAAGCGUCAUUAAAAUAUGGCAUCGUGCAGAACAAGGGGGGUCCCUGUGGGGUUCUGGCAGCUGUCCAAGGCUGUGUCCUACAAAAACUCCUAUUUGAAGGAGAUAGCAAAGCUGACGGUGUUCGGCAGCUGCAGCCUUCCAACGCCCACAGGACCCACUGCCUCGCCCUGGCCAUCGCAGACAUGGUGUGGCGGGCGGGGGGCCGAGAGAGAGCUGUGAUCACACUGGCUUCGGGAACACAGCACUUCAGUCCAACAGGGAAAUACAAAGCAGAUGGAGUCUUAGAAACACUCACACUGCACAGUUUGACCUGCUAUGAGGAGCUGGUGACUUUUCUUCAACAAAGUAUCCAUCAGUUUGAAGCAGGUCCCUACGGAUGCAUCCUGCUCACCCUGUCUGCCAUCCUGUCCAGGUCCACGGAGCUUGUCCGCCAAGACUUUGAUGUCCCCACCAGCCACCUGAUUGGAGCACAUGGAUACUGCACCCAGGAACUUGUCAAUCUGCUCCUGACCGGGAAAGCUGUGUCCAAUGUUUUCAACGACGUGGUUGAGCUGGAUUCUGGGAACGGGAACAUCACGCUACUCAAAGGCAUUGCUGCACGCAGCGACAUUGGAUUCUUAUCUCUCUUUGAGCACUACAAUGUGUGCCAGGUGGGCUGCUUCCUGAAGACGCCGAGGUUCCCCAUCUGGGUGGUGUGCAGUGAGAGCCACUUCAGCGUCCUCUUCAGCCUGCAGCUCGAGCUCCUGCGAGACUGGAGGGCCGAGAGGCUCUUCGACCUGUACUACUACGAUGGUCUGGCCAACCAGCAGGAGCAGAUCCGGCUGACCGUUGACACCACCCAGACUGUCCCUGAGGACAAAGACAAUGACCUCAUCCCGCCCCUUGAGCUCUGCAUCAGAACCAGGUGGAAGGGGGCGUCGGUGAACUGGAACGGCUCAGAGCCCAUCCUGUGACCCUUCCCGUUGGGUCCCGUGGAUGAUCCUCACCGGCCAGCGAGCUCUUCCGGGAGCCUGAACUUGCAGGAGGCAGUCAGGGUGCCAAGUCUAUUUGCAGGCCCCCUGACAUCUGUGAGGUUCAGCAAAGUCCUGCCUCCCUGUGGAAUGGAGCCCAUCUCCAUGAUAAGCACCCACUUCCUUGUGUCCUGCCUGGGUGUCCACUAUGUUGGCUCUUCUCCUGGGAGCUGGAUGGGAAGACGCAGGACCUGCGGUGGGUCUAACUCACUGAGACACAAGAAGUAUGACCACAUGGAACGCCGUGACACAGUGAGGCCAGCUGCACCCCCAGGGGAUGAAGAGGAGCGCAGAGGGCCUGAGAGUCCUGGGGUUGGCCUUCCUGAGAAGUGGCAACCCCCAGAAAAUGGGGCCUGUGUCCGUGCAUAAGCAACUCUCUAACCAUUCCCAUGAGCUGUCCUCGUGGGGACUGAGCCUGGCCUGGGCAGAGACAGGAUCACCAUAACAGGACCUGGGCUUCCUGAAUUCUAGACACUGUAUCCCCAAAUUCUCAGACCCUGGCUCUUCAGAGUCCCCAGUGAGGUUGGCCUGGAGGAGGAGGUGUGCAGGGAUGAAGCAGGGUGUGUGUGGCAGGGAGUCCUGCCUCCCUCAUGCUGCAAGCCCUUUCUGGUCCACCGUUUGCCCUACUGGCUGCUGCUCUGCUGAUGGGGCAGGGCGGUCACUGUGCUCAACAUGGGGGAAACCACUUCAGCCCAUGGCCUCAGUUUACUUUUGUCUUAAUGACCCAAAGGACCUCCUAUCCUAAUGGUCUAACACUCUGGGUGUUCAGAGGUACCCAACCCUUUGUGACAAGAGGGCCCUAGAGGGGUGGCACAGCCCUGUGAGUUGACCAGUGGAUACACCUGCAGAAAAUAGCACAAAGCAGGAGGUGUGUGUGCAUUGGGGUGAAACUGGUGGCACUGGGGGCUGGGGAGCCAGAGCCUGGCUGGGCGCAGGGGCCCGGGGCAGGGGGCCAUGUCAUCAUUUUCUCAUUAGGCAAGACAGCGAUCUGCCUGUGUGAGAUGAUCUUGCUGGCCCUGUGGGCUCCAGGAAUGUUGGCUUCACAUGAAUAGAAUCCCCAGAGCGGACCACAGAGGGAGGGGUCUCCAGUGGACGGGGAUAAGGGUGGGUACCUCCCACCUUCCUAGACUCACCCCUGCCAGCCCCAGACCACAGCAUCAUGGCAUCCUAGGAAGUCCAGAGUGAAAGAGGGUGGUCCCAGAGGUGA